rnacentral:rRNA from 1 species
GUCGAACGAAGGCCCUAGCUUGCUAGGUGUCCUUAGUGGCGCACGGGUGAGUAACACGUGGGAACAUACCUCAUAGUACGGAAUAACUGCGGGAAACUGUAGCUAAUACCGUAUAUUCCAGCAAUGGGAAAGAUUUAUCGCUAUGAGAUUGGCCCGCGCAAGAUUAGUUUGUUGGUAAGGUAAUGGCUUACCAAGGCUACGAUCUUUAGCUGGUUUGAGAGGAUGAUCAGCCACACUGGGACUGAGACACGGCCCAGACUCCUACGGGAGGCAGCAGUAGGGAAUAUUGGACAAUGGGGGAAACCCUGAUCCAGCAAUGCAGCGUGAGUGACGAAGGCCUUAGGGUUGUAAAACUCUUUCAUCGGUGAGGAUAAUGACAGUAACCGAAGAAGAAGGACCGGCUAAUUCCGUGCCAGCAGCCGCGGUAAUACGGAAGGUCCUAGCGUUGUUCGGAAUUACUGGGCGUAAAGCGCAUGUAGGUGGAACAGAAAGUUAGAAGUGAAAUCCCUGGGCUCAACCUAGGAACUGCUUUUAAAACUUCUGUUCUGGAAUUCAGGAGAGGAAAAUGGAAUAUCCAGUGUAGAGGUGAAAUUCGUAGAUAUUGGAUGGAACACCAGUGGCGAAGGCGAUUUUCUGGACUGAUAUUGACGCUGAGACGCGAAGGCAUGGGUAGCAAACGGGAUUAGAUACCCCGGUAGUCCAUGCAGUAAACGAUGGGUGCUAGUCGUCGGACUUAUGUUCGGUGUCGUAGCUAACGCGUUAAGCACCCCGCCUGGGGAGUACGGUCGCAAGAUUAAAACU